rnacentral:rRNA from 1 species
UGGGGAAUUUUGGACAAUGGGCGAAAGCCUGAUCCAGCCAUGCCGCGUGAGUGAAGAAGGCCUUCGGGUUGUAAAGCUCUUUUAGUCAGAAAGAAAGAGUCGCAAUGAAUAAUUGUGAUUUAUGACGGUACCGACAGAAAAAGCACCGGCUAACUACGUGCCAGCAGCCGCGGUAAUACGUAGGGUGCGAGCGUUAAUCGGAAUUACUGGGCGUAAAGGGUGCGCAGGCGGUUUUGCAAGUCAGAUGUGAAAGCCCCGGGCUUAACCUGGGAAUUGCGUUUGAAACUACAAGGCUAGAGUGCAGCAGAGGGGAGUGGAAUUCCAUGUGUAGCAGUGAAAUGCGUAGAGAUGUGGAAGAACACCGAUGGCGAAGGCAGCUCCCUGGGUUGACACUGACGCUCA